CAACCUCCGCAGGCUGACAGGCCCCAAGGCCAGGCUGGGCGAAUCUCUCUUCCGAAGGCUCACCCACAAGCACAACUAGGAGC
rnacentral:pre_miRNA from 1 species